rnacentral:rRNA from 1 species
CAAAGGAAUUGACGGGGCCCGCACAAGGCGGUGGAGCAUGUGGUUUAAUUCGAAGCAACGCGAAGAACCUUACCAGGUCUUGACAUCCCGAUGCUAUUUCUAGAGAUAGAAAGUUACUUCGGUACAUCGGUGACAGGUGGUGCAUGGUUGUCGUCAGCUCGUGUCGUGAGAUGUUGGGUUAAGUCCCGCAACGAGCGCAACCCCUAUUGUUAGUUGCCAUCAUUCAGUUGGGCACUCUAGCGAGACUGCCGGUAAUAAACCGGAGGAAGUGGGGAUGACGUCAAAUCAUCAUGCCCCUUAUGACCUGGGCUACACACGUGCUACAAUGGUUGGUACAACGAGUUGCGAGUCGGUGACGGCGAGCUAAUCUCUUAAAGCCAAUCUCAGUUCGGAUUGUAGGCUGCAACUCGCCUACAUGAAGUCGGAAUCGCUAGUAAUCGCGGAUCAGCACGCCGCGGUGAAUACGUUCCCGGGCCUU